rnacentral:rRNA from 1 species
AUCUCAGUUCGGAUUGUAGUCUGCAACCCGACUACAUGAAGCUGGAAUCGCUAGUAAUCGCAGGUCAGCAUACUGCGGUGAAUACGUUCCCGGGUCUUGUACACACCGCCCGUCACACCAUGGGAGCCGGAAAUGCCCGAAGCCAGUGACCCAACCUUAGGGAGGGAGCUGUCGAAGGUGGAGCCGGUAACUGGGGUGAAGUCGUAACAAGGUAAC